rnacentral:rRNA from 1 species
UACGGGGGGGGUAAGCGUUGUUCGGAAUUACUGGGCGUAAAGGGCUCGUAGGCGGCCAACUAAGUCAUACGUAAAAUCCCUCAGCUUAACUGGGGAACUGCGUGUGAUACUGGAUGGCUUGGAUUUGGGAGAGGGAUGCGGAAUUCCAGGUGUAGCGGUGAAAUGCGUAGAUAUCUGGAGGAACACCGGUGGCGAAGGCGGCAUCCUGGACCAAUAUUGACACUGAGGAGCGAAAGCCAGGGGAGCAAACGGG